UACGUAGGGUGCGAGCGUUGCCCGGAUUUAUUGGGCGUAAAGGGCGCGUAGGCGGUGAGAUGCGUCCGUUGUGAAAUCGCCCGGCUCAACUGGGCGGGGUCAGCGGAUACGGUCUCACUUGAGCAAGCUAGGGGGCAAUGGAAUUCCCGGUGUAGUGGUGGAAUGCGUAGAUAUCGGGAGGAACACCAAUGGCGAAGGCAGCUCGCUGGGACGUGACUGACGCUGAGACGCGAAAGCGUGGGGAGCAAACAGG
rnacentral:rRNA from 1 species